rnacentral:lncRNA from 1 species
GCGCGGCGGUCGGCGCGGGGCGCGAGAUGAGGAAAUCGAGGCCGCAGAGAAGGGACUUACCCAAACUUAAGCUUUGUGUGGGCCUUGGAGCUAGGCUGAAGGAGAACCUGGAGUCUCACUGGGGCAAGUUCCUUCAACUUUCAGGGAUUCAAAUGACCUCACUUGUAGUGCGGGGCGUCCGGACCACCCCUCAGGAAUUGGGAUCAGGGCAAGAAUUACUAACUAAGCAAGCACCCCGCCUGGGAGGGAGUGUCCAGGACUGGUGUGGGCCCCUGUCUGUACCAGAGCGGAGGCCCGGGGCACGGUGGGAUUAAUUUCCAUGGGUGCAGAGAGGGGAGCCGUGUACGGAGUCAUUCUAGGCUUAGGGGAGACAGAGCAGUUAGCUUUCCCCAAACCUCUGUGCCUUCCUUUUCUUCCUGGAUUCCUACCUGGGGGUGGAGGUGGAGGCGGGGGUACCGCUGCCUUUCUCAAAGCAUGUCUAGUCCAGCAGUGAGCCCUCCUGGGCGUCUUGGCGCCCCAGUUGCUUCCUGGACGUAUUGGGGUUUCUCUGGGAGAAGGGUCUUGCCUGCAGUACCCUGGGCCUCCUGAAGAGGCCUCUGGUUGCGCUGCCUGAUUCAGGGACCCAGAGCCACGACUCGCCGAGAGGAGCUCCGGCGGCGUGCGGCUGGGUUGCCUGAGGGGCUGGGGGCUGCCUGGUGGACUUGCACACAUGCUGGCUCCAUACUUGUCACUGUGGUGGACGCUCAGAGCUCUACAGGGCCAGCUGCCUGCCCCUGCCCCAAGUCCCCUGGGCUGGGGUUGGGAUGGGGGUGGCUUUAGGGCGUCCUUCUCCCCUCCUGGUGCUCGAGCUGGAUUUCCUCCCUGUUGGCUGGGGCCAUCCCUCGUGUCUCUGAUUGGCCUGUCCUGGCCUCAUCCCUCACCUGCUUGGGAUGCACUUGGACUCCGCUUUGCCCCGAGGGUUGCCUGGGCUGGCACCUAGCAAGGGGGCUCCUCCUGUAUGGCUGUACUUUGGGGUCUGUGUUCUAGGGAUUCUUGAACCUCUGGUCUGAAUGAACAGCCGAUUGAUACAGCUCUCCACUGCAUGCAGUUUAGGAACCUCAGUCUCAGGUGACCCCACAGACUACCAGCACCCCCAGCUCCACCCUUGCUCUUCCCCGAGCGUGUCCUAACCCUAGCACUUGUGCCACAUCUAUCCAUUGGCCAAAAUGAGAACUGGGUGGCAGUUCCAGGCCCUUCUUUCAUGCCGAGGCUCUCCUGGCACUGGUGCACGCACACCUAAAGGGAGGCCUUUUCAUCAGACUUGCUCAGCCAGGAGCUCGGAGCCUUCCAUGUCACAUCCUGUGCUGGGACCCCUGUGCCAGAGGCUCAGCAGCUGUUCACUUGUUCAGCCCACUGCACUUACUGAGUGCUGCCUAUGAGUCAGGAACUGGCCAAGUUCUUAGGAUGCAGCAGGGAAACAAACAGUAACUGGCAUGUCAAGAAUUAAAACAAGGUGAUGAGAUAAGAGAAUGACAAGGUAACCACAGAAGAUCUCUGAGGAGGUUGCACUUAAGAUGUGAUCCGAGUCCCACAAAGGAGCAUGCUGUCCUAAGAUCCGGUGGAAGAACUUUCCAGACAGAAGGAGCAGCUGAUGAAGGUGGGGGUGAUGAUGAAGCUGGUAGCACCAAAUAAAUGUGCUAGACCAGGGGUUGGCCAGCUUUUACUGUGAAGGGCUAGGCAGCAAACAUUUUAGGCUUUGCUGACCAUGUGGCUUUCUGUUUUUUUGUUUGUUUGAGAUGGAGUCUCACUCUGUCGCCCAGACUGGAGUGCGGUUGCACAAUCUCCACUCACUGCAACCUCUGCCUCCCGCGUUCAAAUGAUUCUCCUGCCUCAGCCUCCCCAGUAGCUGGGAUUAC